rnacentral:lncRNA from 1 species
AUGCUGAUGCUGCUGGAUCAAGGACCACGCUCUGAGAAGCAAGGGUUUAUGGGGCUUUCUUGGACUGCACUCUGGCCAAACGCAGUGACUCCAGUAAGGCGUGGCCUUUGCAACCACAGGAAGAGCAGAAGUCUGCUGUGGAGCCGCCUGCAUCCAAGUCCAGCUCUGCUGCUUGAUGGGAAUGGGCCCUUGGGACAGAUUCUUCUCUUGGAAUCUGAGUGUUCUCAGAGGAGGCAGAGGAUGAUGACACAAACUUACAGACUGGGACUCCAAGGAUCAGCCAGAUGA